rnacentral:lncRNA from 1 species
UGGCUAUUUUGUACAGAUGCCUCCUGAUAUCCUGCGGCAAAUCCUUUUAAAAGUCAUCACAGAGGAUGGUGAUGUGGCUUUCCUGCGCCUCUCCUUGACGUGCAGGAUCUUCAAAGAAAUAGUUAGCAAUGCUAAAUUCAGGGAGCAGGCUCACUACAUCUGGCUGGACAGUGUCAUCAACUGGAGUAGGUUUUCUGAGGACUACAAAAAAAAAAAAAAAAAGAGUUCAGAGUGCCAUAUUCCUUGACCGAAUGCUCUGAAUGUGGGGACAUUUUAAAGACUGCCCACUUGGGUAUGUUGGGGAUGGCAGGAAGAGAGUCCUGCGACGAUUCUACUCCACCAUCGACUUUCCAGGAUACGGCUCAGCAGAGCACCACUUUAAUGCUGGAGGGGAAUUCCCCUAUGAAAAUAUUUAAUUGUUUUUGUUUAUUAAAGACAAUCAAAAAA